GCAUCCGUAGCUCAGCUGGAUAGAGUACUCGGUACGAACCGAGCGCGGAGGUUCGAAUCCUCCCGGAUGCCCA
rnacentral:tRNA from 1 species